rnacentral:rRNA from 1 species
AUGAAUUCCGAUAAUCCAAUUGAUAUUUUAAAUAUCAAGUUGAAGAGAUUUAAGAAAUUCUUCAAGGGAUGGGGCUCUAAUAUAUUUUGGAAUUCUAAAAAAAGAAUAUUGUUGAGAGAGAAACUGGAGCACCUAGAAAGACUCGAAGAAACUGAUGUGUUUUCCCCUGAGUUGUAUUGCGGGAAAGUCGAGAUUUCGGUUGAGUUGCACCUCCUGAUAGAGGAAGAAGUUGCUUGGUUGCAAAAAUCUCUUGAAAAUUGGUUCUUGAAAGGGGGUCAAAAUACAAAGUAUUUUCAUAGGAUUGUGAAUGGGAGGAGGAAAAACACUAUUUUCUCUCUUAGUUGUGGCGAAACGAUGGUCGAAGGGGCCAAGAACCUACUUGCACAUGCUACGGACUUUUAUAAGGACCUUUUUGGGCCUGCUGAUGGGAACCUGUGCAAAUUGGGUGAAAAUAUGUGGGAACCAAAUGAAACUUUCUGA